rnacentral:lncRNA from 1 species
GCCGACUCUAGUUUUGGAAAGGGGAUCUGAUUAUACACCUGCCUUUCGCGGAAGUGCAACGUCUAGAUCCUUAUGGGUCUAGGGAGAAAUCAGGUCAGUGUGUGGCUUUAUUUCUGCAAGUUACUUUUGUCUCAGUGCAGGAUGAGGGCGGUCCGUGGAAACGGAGCAGCGUGGAUCCAUGGAGAUGGCAGGGGCGUUCGGCAGGUACCAUACUGUCCUGACUUCUCAGGAGCACAAGCAUCAUAUAAAGGAAGAGGAAUUUACAAGAUUUGGGUAUCUGCAUUCGAGCAGAAGACACCAAGACAGCAUCCAAGUGGUCAGCAACUUUCUGAAAAAAGAAGACAAUGAUCCAGGCCAAGGUAACUUAACUUUGGAUUUGUUUUACAGUCUUUCCUUUUCUUUGUUCCCAUUAUU